CGUCUGUUCGGCUCGCUCCAACCGAGGCACCGGAGCAGAGCUAAGAGGUCGCCAAAGCUAUUCGUGACUGUUAGUCUUCUCGCGACUCUCAUCCAGUAAACCCGACUCAUUCAUCAUCUGGUGAUAUAUUUUGAUUUGGUAUAUUAAAUUGUAAAAGUCUUAGAUUUUUCGUAGUAGUAUUGGUGGUCAUUUUCUGUAGUUUUGGGUCUCGCCUAAUUUUUCUGGCAGACCGAAUUAAUUAUGUAAAAUGUAAAUGUUAAGAUAACUUGUGGUAUCAAUAAUAUUAAUUGAGAUGAGAUUUAUUUAA